rnacentral:rRNA from 1 species
UACGUAGGGGGCGAGCGUUGUCCGGAAUCAUUGGCCGUAAAGCGCGUGUAGGCGGCCCGGUAAGUCCGCUGUGAAAGUCGGGGGCUCAACCCUCGGAUGCCGGUGGAUACUGUCGGGCUCGAGUACGGAAGAGGCGAGUGGAAUUCCUGGUGUAGCGGUGAAAUGCGUAGAUAUCGUAAGGAAGACCAGUGGCGAAGGCGAAUCUCUGGACAGUUACUGACACUGAGGCACGAAGGCCAGGGGAGCAAACGGG